AUGAGGCCACCGCUCCGCCGCCUCCCCUCCUUGCUCGUCCGCGGCCUCCGUCGCCAUCUUCCUCCCCGCUCGAAUCUUCUUCCUCGCCGGCGGCCACAGUGCCCAUCUUCCGCUCUUCCCGGAGCUUCUUUCUCGUCGGCGGCCCCCUUCCCAUCUCCCCCCUUGCCUGCAUCUUCUUCCUCGCCAGCGGCCACCGUUGCCGUCCCCCUCCGCACCCGUAUCGCGGCCGUAUUUGCCAAGCAUCCCUGCCGCAUCCCGAAUUCUUUCGUUUCUUGUAUUAAAUCACAGAACAAGAGAUACUCAGGGAUACGCGUAUCCCCACGCGUCCUGGCGCAUCCCCCUGUCGUGUGCGCGCCGCGCAGGGGCAUCGCGUCGCUUUCGAGUUUGGUGGGUGACUGCUCUACUUCUGGCUGCGCCCCCCAGAGCAUUGAAGAUGACCGCGACAACGACGACGAUCUUGAUUCCGAGAAUUGGGAUGGCAACAAUGAUGCUGCUGGUGGGAGUGAGCCCAACUCUGAUCGUUCUGAUGAUGAGGCUACGGGCAGCUUCUUUGAUUCCUUUGGACAGAGAAAGAAAGUGAGACUCAUGGAAGAGAGCAAUAAGAAGAGGAAGCGAUAUGGAGGUGAAGCACAAGGAAAUCAACCUCCUUUUGAUGGUAGCCAGGACGACCCAAUGCCUCUUCCAAAUCCAAUGGUCGGGUUUAAUCUGCCUAGUGACAGGCUACGGUCAGUUAAGAGAAGGCUUACGAAGCAAGCUACUGGACCCCCCUUUUUUUAUUAUGAGAAUGUGGCCUUAGCCCCUAGAGGCGUAUGGAGAACUAUUUCAAGAACCUUAUAUGACAUCGAACCAGAAUUUGUGGAUUCUAAGUACCUUUGUGCAGCUGCCAGAAAACGAGGUUAUAUACACAAUCUACCAAUUGAUAACAGGUCACCUCUCCUUCCCCUCCCCCCAAAGAAUAUAUUUGAGGCGUUCCCUGAUUAUGAGAAGUGGUGGCCUUACUGGGACCCAAGAAGGCAGCUAAACUGCCUGCUGACGAGUGUGGCAAGUGCAAAGCUGACAGAACGCAUCGAGUAUGCUCUUGCAAGCUCAGGCAGUCUACCAUCUCCAAGUGUUCAGAAGUAUGUCACGGAUGAAUGCAGGAAAUGGAAUCUUGUGUGGAUUGGAAAGAACAAGGUUGCGCCUUUGGAGCCUCAUGAGAUGGAGUAUCUACUUGGUUUCCCAAGAGACCACACGAGAGGAGUAUGCAAGAUGGAGAGGUUACCAAUGACAACAUUUUGGGGUUCUUGGUGUGUAGCCUAUGAGCUCCAUCAUUACCUUGGCUUCUUUGAAGUAUCUUUAAAUGGAUUUCGUUUUCAGCUGAGUUCUAUUAACUUAAAUUUGGGUAGUUUUGACAUGUUGAACCCUGUUCUAUUUUUUCCUUUCCAUAGUUCCUGUUGA
rnacentral:rRNA from 1 species